CCACGCGUGUUCGUUCAACCUGAAUCCAAACGGAAAACUGCGUUUCACAAGAUUCCGCCAGCAAUACGAAGUAUUCCUUCAUCGCGUCGCUCCCUUCACCAUGGUGAAAUCGAAUCGUACCUCUCUGUUCGAAUUCACCUUCAUACUGAAUCGAAACCUUCACCAUGAUUUCAGAGCCAAUACCAUGGCGGCGUGCUCCCCAAAUCUUCACCUCCGGAACUCACCAAUCACCUUCACCAAACCGAAAUCCACAUCGGCAUACAAACACGCGGCCGAGAGUUUAACGCCUUUAAAUCUCGCGUAGUAGCUUUGAAAUCAGAAAGAAGAGAAACGAAGAACCAAACUUCAAGGUCCAAUCAAUCUCAUCGAUGUUCUAUUUGGUCUUAUCAUGUACGCGCGGAAACGACAAGAGCGGAAUCAGAGUCGAGAAAACUUACUGGAUUAAUGUCUUAACCGUGAACAGCUUGCGGUUGCUGUUCUAUGAAUUGGAGGACUUAGUUGCAGGAUGGAAAAAACCAAAUGCCGAGUUCAGUUCUUGUUACAGAAUCCAGUGGAAUUCAUUUGCAGGAUCGAAUUACAGAGUUGAAAUGCAAGGUCUGAGUUUUUACUUAGUGAAGGGUGUAGAGGUUGAAGAAGAAGAUUAGAAGAUGGUGAAAAAGCAGAAGGUUGGGGAAGAACAAAGUCGGAAGGGAUUGAAGAAUUCUAACAAAAAUGGAAGAGCACGGGAUCAUGAACAGAUCGGAGGAAUCAUAGUUCGGAGAUCGGAGGAAUCAUAGUUCGGAUAUUGGAGCCAAGCAAUGGAAUGAAAACAUGACGCCAUGAGUUACGAUAAAUUGAAGCAAUUUACCGGAAUGAAGCCACGUGGAGGUUUACGAUAAAUUGAAGCAAUUUACCGGAAUGAAGCCACGUGGAGGUUCCGGUGUCGUCGUGGAGGUUCCGGUGUCGUCGAUGUCGAUCACAGAUGACUUUCUUUGUGUGCUUUCUACAAUUUCUUCUUCUUUCUUCUUCUUCUGAAUUCGUGAGCGGUAAAAAGAGACUGAGGCGGCUUAGCUCUAGCAGAAUUGAAGCUUCGAUGCAAAGCUUCAAUGGCUUCUCUGAAAGAGAAAUAGAGCUCUGGUGAGGGUGAGGGAGGAGGUUGCAAGAGAGUGAGAGUGCAGGUUCAAGCCAAAAAAUGUCAAGUCUCAAAGUGUGAGUGAUGAAUCUCUUAAAUAGAGUUGAGGUUCGGAAUUUUCUAGCUUCGGAUUUAGGUAUGAAAUUGUUAAACAUGGUUCGGGAGUUAGUUAAACUCAACUCACUGAGUUAAAUGAAAAACUCAGUUAGUUAGAAACGACACAGUUAGUUAUUUGAGUUGAUGUUGGUUAGUGAGUGAGUUAAAACUUGACUGGCUACUGCAGGUUACCGUUAGAUUGAGGUUAUAUUGGAAUGGUUUUUAAUGACCUGCUGUUUAUGUUGCAGGUCAGUGACUUUGGGUUUGGACUUAUGAAUGGCUUUGGAAUUUUUGAAUCAAGUGAGUUGGCUGCUAUUCCUGAGCUUCCUGUGACCGUUGUGGGUGCAGUACUCACAGUUACAACAGUGCUUGGUGCAACUCCUGUGGUGUUUGAAGUAACUACCGAAUUGGAAACAGGGGUACUCGAUAAACCAAAAACCAACCGUUGAUGAUCAGUGGCUAUAAUUGGUGUAAUAGAAGAUGGGCUUGAAGCAAGACCGUUAGAUGUCAAAGUGUUGGAAUUAGCUGCAUUAGCUGGUGUUGGUGUUGCAGCUGAGGAGGCAGCAGCAUUGGAUGUAUCACUUGCAUUUUCAUUACAAUACAUUUGAAAAAAGCUUUUAGGUUAUUUGAUGGAACUUGCAACCAUUAUGCCAUUGCACCUUCAAAAGCCUCCAUAUGCAUCCACUUUCCAUGGCAACAAUAGUCUUGGGCUUGCAAAAUUCAUGGCAGCAACAACCAUUCUUGACAAUGUCAGAACAUACCAAGAUCACCAUACUAGCAGAAUUGCCACCACCCUGUAUUGGCAAAGAAAAACGAGUCAUCUGCUGGGAUGACAUUUUUUUCUGCAUGUAUGCUUUCCACUUAAGAAGGGGAGCCUCACUGCAAUUCUGAGGGGAUUGCUGCAUUCUCCACUUCUCCAUUCUGCAUCCAGUUUUUCCUUCAUUCUGCAACAAGAUAGCGAUUCAGCAACACAAACUAGCGACUCAGCAACACAAGCUAGCAAUUCUGCAACACAAACUCGUAACUCUGUUUUGAUUCGAUGAGUAUUCAUCAUCUACUUCCAGUUUCUUUUAUAACUAUGCGCGCGUUCUUGUUUUUGCGAUUGGAGGUUGAACUCAUCUUGAACCCGUUGCUUCUCCGUGAGACAUAGGACUCCGAAAGCGGCACUACAAUGAGGACGCGAAUCCUCGAUGUUUACCGUGAAAGAUUCAAAGUACGGUGUCCCGGGAUGACCGUGACCGCGAGACCCGCUCGAAGUCGUUGCAAUGGUGUUCGUCGGCUCAGUUUUGUGCAGCUUGCUAGGAGGCAUUGUGAAGAAGCUGAUGUUCGUCCGUUUCUGUUAGAGUGAAUCCAAUGAAAGUGAAAAAUUAAUUAAUUGAUGGAAUGUUAGUUAUUAAGUUAGUUAGAACUGGCACCUUGAGAAGGAGUUUUGUUAGCUGAGUUAUAUUAACUUCAAAUAUUUGCCAUGAUCACCUGGUUUUGACAACAGUGCAAAUUAUUAGAUGAUGAAGAGUUAGAUAUGUUGGAUUUGGAUGGUUAACGGGAUGGACUGAAGUGAUUUGGUUUAAGUCGGAUAUGGUCUGCCGUAGGCCACGUCUCGGUUAUAGCAGAACCGUGUGCUGGUAGCAGCAUUACCUUUCUGCAGUUGUAUCUGCAGCAACAUGGCACUUUGUAGCAUGGCAAUUCUGCAGCAACAUGAUUUGUGUGACAGGUCACUUUGCAACAGCAUGACCACUGUUGCAUUUGGAAUGCUGCAGCGGUUUGGGUUGCAGCGGAGUUAGUAAUUCGGUCGUUGAUUAAUGGCUUCAACGGAGUUAGUAAUUCGGUCGUUGAUUAAUGGCUUCAACACAAUCGUACUCUUAUAUUGAGCCACAAACUCCUAAAGCGGCAAUAACUUAAGCUGGUAACCACCAUUGUAUCUUGCAUUCUGUCUGAACCAAGAAGCAGAACCAACAUGAUGUUGUCCCUAUGGGAACAAAGGGAAACGCUAAUCUGAUGUGUUUCGUACCCGUCACGGCUUAGUUGCUCGCGUUGUAUCUUAAAUAUAAAUGAAAGUGGGAUUGUGGCUGUAGUUGUAGCUUUUGAAUUUUAAUCUGAUUUGUUUUUGAGUUGAAUGGAUGGUUGUACUUGUGAAUGGGGUUAUGAUAGAAACUUUGGAUGAUAUUUGGUUAAUUGAAAAAAUGGAUUUUUACAUGGA